rnacentral:rRNA from 1 species
UACGCAGGGGGCUAGCGUUGUUCGGAAUAACUGGGCGUAAAGCGCAUGUAGGCGGAUUUUCAAGUCAGCGGUGAAAUCCCGGGGCUCAACCCCGGCAUUGCCUUUGGUACUGGAGAUCUGGAGUCUGGGAGAGGUGAUUGGAAUUCCGAGUGUAGAGGUGAAAUUCGUAGAUAUUCGGAGGAACACCAGUGGCGAAGGCGGCUCACUGGCCCGAGACUGACGCUGAGAUGCGAAAGCGUGGGGAGCAAACAGG